ensembl:snRNA U6 U6 spliceosomal RNA
GUGCUUGCUUCGGCAAUACAUAUACUAAAAUUGGAACGAUACAGAGAAGAUUAGCAUGGCCCCUGCGCAAGGACGGCACGCAAAUUCGUGAGGCGUUCCAUACCUUU